AACGAACGCUGGCGGCAUGCCUAACACAUGCAAGUCGAACGGGAUCCUGGCUUCGGCCAGGUGAGAGUGGCGGACGGGUGAGUAACGCGUGGGAACCUGCCCAUUGGUCUGGGAUAACUGCGGGAAACUGCAGCUAAUACCGGAUGUACCCCGAGAGGGGAAAGAUUUAUCGCCGAUGGAGGGGCCCGCGUCAGAUUAGGUAGUUGGUGAGGUAACGGCUCACCAAGCCUACGAUCUGUAGCUGGUCUGAGAGGAUGAUCAGCCACACUGGGACUGAGAUACGGCCCAGACUCCUACGGGAGGCAGCAGUGGGGAAUAUUGGACAAUGGGGGCAACCCUGAUCCAGCAAAGACCGCGUGAGUGAUGAAGGCCUUAGGGUUGUAAAGCUCUUUUACCAGGGACGAUGAUGACGGUACCUGGAGAAUAAGCCCCGGCUAACUUCGUGCCAGCAGCCGCGGUAAU
rnacentral:rRNA from 1 species